AAUCUUCAACCUACAAGGUCUUUGUAAAGGCUUUUUAGGCUUGGACUUGGAGGCUUGUCGGUCUUUAUAGGUCGGCUCCUCUUAAACGCAUUAGCUUGAUUCCUUGCGGAUCGGUUUGUCGGUGUGAUAAUGUCUACGCCGCGACCGUGAAGCGUUUUGGCAAGCUUCUAACGGUCUCUGUAUGGAGACAAAGCUUAUGAC
rnacentral:misc_RNA from 1 species